AGGUUGCUAGUGACAGGUUGCUAUCCUACCUGCCGAGUCGCAGAGCAAUCGACUGCAAACCGCAUGUGUCGACACUGCCCACAGCUCUACGGGGCUCCUGUCCAUGUCACAGAUUCCUUAAAACUAGUAUUUGUUCGAAAAUUCUACAGCAUCAAGCUUACUUGCAUUGACAUCGAGCCGAUCUGUGACAAAUGAACGAAUAUUGACAAAUCGCCUCACGUCGUUUUUUUUUACACCGUAGCUGAAUAAGCUUGCACUCCACGCGAGUAAAAUCAAGUCUUAGGCUUCCUUGCGUCUUGCAAAACACGACCUCGUAAUAAAUAUCACGCCAAAUGGGCAUGCACA